GGGUUCCAAGUUCCUCUAUCCCCA
rnacentral:tRNA from 1 species